UGGGAGUCGGCUGCCGUGAUCAGGGUAACCGGGAUCCACGCAGAACUGUUGAUCUGAGAGAGCCACAGAGAUCAGGCGAAAGUAGGCAAGGAGAGCAUGCAGACCCCACACACAUAAAGAACAGGGGGGUUUAUCAAUGUUCCCUCUUCCAGGACUGAGAAGACCUGUUACAGUUUUACUGUAGAGCUAUUGGAGACUGGUGCCGUGCCACUCUGAGUGGGAGACCCCAGAGACAGGAAGCCAGACUAAGCUGGAGAAGGUGGAAGUGGAGAAGGCGUACAGAUCCAAGUGAAGAUACCGAAAACAGGAGCGAAAGACAUCAAUGCUUCAGUCAUCGGGCAAUUAACACUGGAUAUUUAUAACUCUGGACCAUUAUUAUGCUUUGUGUCUGAAUAAUGUGUACCUACAGCUAAAUGACUAAUCGCUUGCUAACAGUGCAAAUAUUAUUACUAGCAGAGGACAAGAUAAGGCUCUUUCAUUAGCAAAGCUUUUGGUGGGUGUCACCCCCGUAAAAUACCGCAGUCCCGGGUGAUCGGAAACAUACCAUGAUGUAAAUGGAGAAAACUCCCUUUUCCCUCGACGUUUUAUGGCAAAGUGUUUGAAUGUCUCAGGAUAAUGUUGUCCUGGUUACAGAAAGGGCGUUCAGAGCAAUGACUGAUGCUCUUCAAAUAAAUGCAUGCAUAUAUUGUCAAAUAUACCAUAAUUAUUAAAUAUUAGAGCAGCAUGGAGGCUAAAAAGGAAGCCUGAUGAUGUCUAGUAAAGGUUCAUUGUCAUCUCAGUGGUGUACAAUGCAGAGUGAAGCAGCAAGAAUCCCAGGAUCUCACGGGGAAGCAGAUGUUACCUGCUUCAUUUCAUUUUUUAAAAUUGCCAGACAUAGGUGCACAUAGAAGAAAAUAUCAUAAUUUGUAGUAUUUGUUUUAUUUUUAUUGAAGACAUAUUUUAAAAUCUUAAUAUCUUUUGUGUUAUUAAGUGCGUUGUGAGGUUUCUGUGUUUAGAUCCAUUUGCCAAAUAGGGUGUAGAUUUUAGACUGAUCAUACAUUCGGGUUUAUGUAGUGUUGACUACCUGUGAUUAUGCAUGUGAUAUAUAGUCGUUUAAUAUCCGUAAUUAUAAUACAAUGUCCUCUGUUUAAUUAUUAUCUGUUCGUCUAGCCUUGUUACAGCGUUUAAAUAUGGAAAUGAAUAGUCUGUAUGUCACGUUUAAUUAAACCAUUAAAUAAAUAUUAAAAUAUGGGCCA